CGUUGAGUGCAAUGGCAGAAGCCAGCCUGACUGCAAGACUGACAAGUCGAGCAGAGUCGAAAGACGGCCAUAGUGAUCCGGUGGUCCCGCGUGGAAGGGCCAUCGCUCAACGGAUAAAAGGUACUCCGGGGAUAACAGGCUGAUGAUGCCCAAGAGUCCAUAUCGACGGCAUUGUUUGGCACCUCGAUGUCGGCUCAUCACAUCCUGGAGCUGUAAAUGGUUCCAAGGGUUCGGCUGUUCGCCGAUUAAAGUGGUA
rnacentral:rRNA from 1 species